rnacentral:rRNA from 1 species
CCACGGGAGGCAGCAGUGAGGAAUAUUGGUCAAUGGGCGCGAGCCUGAACCAGCCAAGUAGCGUGAAGGAUGACUGCCCUACGGGUUGUAAAGUUCUUUUAUAAAGGAAUAAAGUGAGGCACGUGUGCCUUUUUGUAUGUACUUUAUGAAUAAGGGUCGGCUAACUCCGUGCUAGCAGCCGCGGUAAUACGGAGGAUACGAGCGUUAUCCGGAUUGAUUGGGUUUAAAGGGAGCGUAGAUGGGUUGUUAAGUCAGGUGUGAAAGUUUGCGGCUCAACCGGAGAAUUGCAAUUGAUACUGGGAGGCUUGAGUGCAGUUGAGGUAGGCGGAAUUCGUGGUGUAGCGGUGAAAUGCUUAGAUAUCACGAAGAACUCCGAUUGCGAAGGCAGCUUACUAAACUGCCACUGACAUUGAUGCUCGAAAGUGUGGGUAUCAAACAGGAUUAGAUACCCCAGUAGUC